CCCUUAGAUGUCCGGGGCCGCACGCGCGCUACACUGAAGGAAUCAGCGUGGCUUUCUCCCUGACCCGAAAGGGUUGGGAAACCCGUUGAAUCUCCUUCGUGAUAGGGAUUGGGGCUUGAAAUUGUUCCCCAUGAACGAGGAAUUCCUAGUAGGCGCGAGUCAUGACCUCGCGUCGACUGCGUCCCUGCCCUUUGUACACACCGCCCGUCGCUACUACCGAUCGAGCGCCCUAGCGAGGUCGUCCGAUUGUCGCCGAGGCCGGCUUUCGCGAGCUGCGCAUCCGACGAAAAGGCGAUCGAACUCGAGCGCUUAGAGGAAGUAAAAGUCGUAACA
rnacentral:rRNA from 1 species